CUGGACGGUUAUGCCUACUUGGCCAUCGCUUCCUGCCUGCAGGGCUUCACCAGUGGGGCCUUCUUCCCUAUAGCCUCAGUCUUAAUCCGGCGUUUGGUCAAGUUGGAGGAGUUCGCUCUCAGCACAGGAUGGUACCACAUUUUUCUUGGAGUUGGCCACCUGCUUGGACCGGUUGUAUCAGGCUGGGUGUUUGAUGUGACAUUGAGUUACAGGCCGGUGUUCUUUGUGUUAGGGGCAAUAAGUUUCGCCUGUUGUAUCCAAACACUUCUUUUCCCUGUCUUCAAGCGACUGGAAGGAAGGAGGUGAGGACCGACCACCCCAAACAACACGCAGUUGCGUUGCCACGAGGGGGAUGCAAAGUGAUGAGGCAGAGCGCAGUUCAGAGCAAAAUCGAGACACCAAAGGAGGCAAAUUGGGCGGGCAAAUAGAUUACAGGCCGAAAAACAGGUAAUUGUGUACAAGCUCAUAAGGUGACGAGAAUAUCAUUUCUUGGGUCAAGACGCCGUCUCAUGGGUGCAUUCGCAGCGAAAGCUUGUCAUCUUGACGAGAUAGCCUGAAACGUAUUUUACUCUUACAAAUGAAUCAUUAGGGAGACAUUUUGUGGUAGAUUUUUUGACCUUAAGGAGACAUCGGUCAUUAGGGAGACAUUUCAAUGUCUCCAUGUUUGCACAUAUUUACCAAAGUUCAAAUGAAAAGGUCGUUUAUUUUAAGUAAUCCAUGUUUCUUUGUUACAUAACCUGUUUUUGAUAUUAUUCGGGCAACUUUUUUCUGCAAAAGAAACAGCUUGUUGCAUUGAGAGGUCAAACUGCCCCAGGAAAGAAUGGCAUAAUUUAAGUAGGAAAGAAUAAGGGUAUUAUACAAAGUUAAAAGUAUAGUUUCUGGCAAACUUUUUUUUAAUCUACUCAUAAUGCCAAUAGUUUUGGAGAUUUUGCACACAACAUGUUGAUAUGUUUGGUCCAAGUGAGAUUCUCAUCAGUAUAAACACCCAAGAAUUUGGUACUUUUGACCUGGUUCAGAACAUUUUAUAUUAUAUAUUCCGUGUAUACUUAUUUGUCUAGAGUUAAAAAUCAUGUAAUUUGUCUUGAGUAAAUUAACUGAAAGUUUAUUUGACAAAAGCCAUUCAUUUCAAUUUUUCAAUUAACCCUAACAGUCCUGAAUCCUCCAAUUUUAAUAUGAUUUUGCACACACCCUAGGGAGUUAGGGUUAACAUUUAUUUCGAUAGUGCAAAUGUAUCAAUCAGGUUAUAUGAAUGUGUACAAUUAAUCAAGGAUAUAAAAGAAUACAAAUAAAUACGAUAAUAACUAGGAUGGCAUAAGUUAUGCACUACAGAGGCAUAAUCAAAAGCCGGGGGCUUGUACUGAAAUGUCUUGAGAGAAGACAGACAGACAGACAAUAGGUCACAGGACUAACAAAUAAGACAAGAAACGAAGAACGACGGACGGAAAACAAAAAUAAUUUAUACAAGGCAAUAAUAGAUACAAUGGAAUCAAAAAUAGUGAUAUGCAAGUAAUGAAACUGAGAGGGAAAUUAUGCUAAAUAACUGGAGAUAAGACUAUUUUUGUAUGAGGUUUUGAAGCGGCCCACAGACGAUUGUGUUUUCAGGGUCAUGCUUAUUCUAUUCCAUAGUCGUGGCCCCUGAAAUCGUAAAGUAUUGCUCGAAUAGGUUGUGCGAAUGUAUGGAAGAUAAAGAUUGUUGCGAGACCUUGUGCAAUAGUCAUGGACAUUGUGGACAGAGGUGAAGAAAGACGAAAAGGCGUGUGGAAGAAGAUUGUUGGUGUAUUUGAACAUAAAAAUCCCAGUUUGGAGUUUGUUUAUAUCAGUGAGUAUAAGUGUGUUGAGUCGUGCAAAGAGAGGGGCUGUGUGUGCCUGUGGAGGUGAUUGAGUACAAAUCCGAACAGCUCUUUUCUCAAUAAUUCAUUCUUCACCUUUACAAGUUCUGUAUUCAGAUUACUUAUGGCUGUAUUCACAUUAUGAUAACAGACUCACAGUGGCAGACUCAGAUCACAGCGGAUGGUGCGUGUAGGCCCUAUGUUUAUCAUUAUGCCACAGCUACCUGUAGAUGUAUGGUAACUGUAGGCCUACAGUACAUAUGUACAUGUAUAUUAAAAUUUAGACAGCAGAAGGAAGCAGAAUUUGACUUUCAGAGAGCAGGAAAUUCUGGACUUUUAUUUAGGCCCUCAAAAAUGCUACCAGUACUUUUGGGUGCAACAAAAUUGAACAACACUUGAACUUUCAGAGGCUGUAAAAAGAAAACGAUUGGAGAUAUCAAGCUGCAACCUAAUUUACCUUAAUUUUUAGGGAUUUUUCGGAAAACUUGUUGCGGUAAUAUGGGAGACACACCUGAAAUCCGUGUGUGAUUUAGCAUGAAUGAAGUAGAAGUGUCUUGGAAACAAUAAUUGACAAAUUGAGUCUCUUUUCUGUUUACUUGGUGAGGCCUUGAUUAUUUGGUGUGGGAAUUUGUAAGGGAUUAGUGUGAGGAAAAUGAAAGAUUCUGGAGGAGAAUAUAGAAUAAAGGGGCUUUCAAGUUUUUCCUUUAUACAGUUUUCAUGGCCCAAUCACCAUGUCCAUUUAUGCACAUGCGUGCAUAAUUGAGAAGAUAAUCAAUGGAAAGUUCCAUUAAUUUAACCAUUAAUGACGAACUCAAUUUGGUCACAUUCCGACAUAGUGAAUGCUUAUUAUUCUGUGAAACCUCUUAGUUUAGUCGUACAGAGCAGACGACGCACGUUUUAACGCACAAACAAAGGCUCUUGAUUAGUUUAAAUUUACUGUUUCUUCCCCCUUUUCUUUUGACAAAGGCAUCCCUCGUAUGGUUCAUAACAAACAAGUAACAACUGUCUCGGGGCACGUUAGUAGGUUGGUGUUCAUAACACUCACAAACUAUACUGGGUGUCCAUUUGACUUUGUUUAUGUAUGAAUAAUAAAAUCUUGAUCUGAGUCAGUUUGCUUACGUUA
rnacentral:lncRNA from 1 species